GUGAUUCGAUUGCAGUCGCCUCGAAGUGUCGCAAGGAAACCGUUAAGCUCGCCGCCUGGGGAGUACGGUCGCAAGGCUGAAUUGUCGGCGAUGUCUUUCGCCGGCACAGUUCACUUAAAGGAAUUGGCGGGGGAGCACCACAAGGGGUGAAGCCUGCGGUUCAAUUGGAGUCAACGCCAGGAAACUUACCAGGAGAGACAGCAGGAUGAGGGUCAGGCUGAAGACUUUACCUGACGAGCUGAGAGGAGAAAGCAAGGCAAGGCAAA
rnacentral:rRNA from 1 species